ensembl:lncRNA
GUUCUUCCAGCAUCAAGAUGGCACAUCUGGAGUUUUAGCACCUCUCCAAAAGUGGUAUGACAUCUGAAUUGACCUGUUAGUUAUGAAUAGGCUUUCUACAGUGUUUUGAUGAAAGAAGUUGUGACCCUGGAGAAGGAAGAAGCCAUUUUUGUAAACAGAUUCCUGGUUUUUCAUCUUCUCCCCUUUGGUUUUCAUGGGUCUGCUGCUUUUCUCUGUGAGCGGUCUGCUCUCCUUGGGUCUGGGGGACUCUGGCCUCACUGGAAGUUGGCAGAACCUUGUCCAGAACUCUAUGCUCCCACUUUGUUGGUGGUGCAUCUAAUUUUAAAAACGAGAAAGGCGAGAAGAAGUGUAAUACCCAACCUUCCUGGUGAAGUGCAUCCGCACACUUGUGAGGUUUUGCUAAACCACUUCAUCAACCUGGAAUGUCUUUUAUGUAUGUGUCUGUUGAAAUUCUGCUCAUUCUUUAAGGACCAUUCAAGUCCAAAAUUUUUUUCUGAAGCCAUUAUUUAUUCUGGUAAGUUGGAAUUAAUCUCUUGUUUCCCUAUAUUUUGCUAGAGAAGUUUUUUUUUCUUACCUUAUUGUAAUACUUACCAAUUUUUCUUUGCUAAUGUUGUGUUCCAUGUCUGUUUAUAUCCUUGAUGGUAUCUGGCAUAGCACACAUAGGUAGUAGGUAAUUAUUUCCUAAAUACUCCUGUCAAUGACUCAUUUAUUUCAGUGUCUGGUGGUAAAUAGUCCCAAUGUUAACCUCUUGACCUAUUGUGUUAAUGAAUUGGGUGUAUAAGGCUAUUGAAUCAUAUGAUAAUUUGAAUGACUAAUUACCUCUAGGCCUAGAGAAUCCAAUUGACCAUAGCAGGAACUUGGGGGUGAUCCUUGACUCCUCCUUUUCCCUCAGCCCCUUAUGCAAGCAGUCUUUAGUCCUAAUUCCUGUCUCUCAAAUCUAUCCAUUUCUUUCCAUUUUACAACAACUUUUUCAGGGCCCCCUGAACAUAAUAGCACCAUGGAUUAUUGUAACAGAUGCUCUGCUUUCAGGUUGGUCUUUCUUCGAUUCCUUUUUUCCCAUGCUUCCAGGUGGAUGUUUCUCUGACCCGAAUCUGACCAUGUCACUCUCUUGCAUAAAGCCAUGUAGUGUGCCUGGAUUCCAAGGGUCAUUUUGACAACUGGUUUCCAGCUUUGGAGACUCCAUAAAAGACCCACGAUUUCCAGAUGUCUUGCUUCAUUUUGGGGACAGGGUGGAGUGUUUUUCUUUUUUGGUGGCAGAGAGAUUGGGUAAUGGAGAUAGAAAGCAAGAUGAUGAAAGACAAGAGGGAAAGGGAGACAGUCACUAAGGCUGUGUCUGCCCUGCAGAAUGUAGUUUCUGGCAAGGCAAUUAGCAUGCAGAUCAGCUGCAUGGAGUCCUCAAUGCAUUAGCAACUGAAGACCAGCUUUCCGAGCCUGUCUUCAGCUUCACAAAUUCACACACCUUCUGGCUGCACCGACACAGCCCCAGUUCAGAAUCCAUUAACUGAAGAUUUAGUCCAUGAACAAAAGUGAUUCUGCAUGCUUAUGAUUAAUGAGA